GGGUUGUGAGGUUAAGCGACUAAGCGUACACGGUGGAUGCCCCGCAGUCAGAGGCGAUGAAGGACGUGCUAAUCUGCGAUAAGCGUCGGUGAGGUGAUAUGAACCGUUAUAACCGGCGAUUUCCGAAUGGGGAAACCCAGUGUGUUUCGACACACUAUCAUUAACUGAAUCCAUAGGUUAAUGAGGCGAACCGGGGGAACUGAAACAUCUAAGUACCCCGAGGAAAAGAAAUCAACCGAGAUUCCCCCAGUAGCGGCGAGCGAACGGGGAGGAGCCCAGAGCCUGAAUCAGUGUGUGUGUUAGUGGAAGCGUCUGGAAAGGCGCGCGAUACAGGGUGACAGCCCCGUACACAAAAAUGCACAUAUUGUGAGCUCGAUGAGUAGGGCGGGACACGUGGUAUCCUGUCUGAAUAUGGGGGGACCAUCCUCCAAGGCUAAAUACUCCUGACUGACCGAUAGUGAACCAGUACCGUGAGGGAAAGGCGAAAAGAACCCCGGCGAGGGGAGUGAAAAGAACCUGAAACCGUGUACGUACAAGCAGUGGGAGCCUCUUUAUGGGGUGACUGCGUACCUUUGUAUAAUGGGUCAGCGACUUAUAUUCUGUAGCAAGGUUAACCGAAUAGGGGAGCCGAAGGGAAACCGAGUCUUAACUGGGCGUUAAGUUGCAGGGUAUAGACCCGAAACCCGGUGAUUCUAGCCAUGGGCAGGUUGAAGGUUGGGUAACACUAACUGGAGGACCGAACCGACUAAUGUUGAAAAAAAUUAGCGGAUGACUUGUGGCUGGGGUGAAAGGCCAAUCAAACCGGGAGAUAGCUGGUUCUCCCCGAAAGCUAUUUAGGUAGCGCCUCGUGAAUUCAUCUCCGGGGUAGAGCACUGUUUCGGCAAGGGGUCAUCCCGACUUACCAACCCGAUGCAAACUGCGAAUACCGGAGAAUGUUAUCACGGGAGACACACGGCGGGUGCUAACGUCCGUCGUGAAGAGGGAAACAACCCAGACCGCCAGCUAAGGUCCCAAAGUCAUGGUUAAGUGGGAAACGAUGUGGGAAGGCCCAGACAGCCAGGAUGUUGGCUUAGAAGCAGCCAUCAUUUAAAGAAAGCGUAAUAGCUCACUGGUCGAGUCGGCCUGCGCGGAAGAUGUAACGGGGCUAAACCAUGCACCGAAGCUGCGGCAGCGACACUAUGUGUUGUUGGGUAGGGGAGCGUUCUGUAAGCCUGUGAAGGUGGCCUGUGAGGGUUGCUGGAGGUAUCAGAAGUGCGAAUGCUGACAUAAGUAACGAUAAAGCGGGUGAAAAGCCCGCUCGCCGGAAGACCAAGGGUUCCUGUCCAACGUUAAUCGGGGCAGGGUGAGUCGACCCUAAGGCGAGGCCGAAAGGCGUAGUCGAUGGGAAACAGGUUAAUAUUCCUGUACUUGGUGUUUACUGCGAAGGGGACGGAGAAGGCUAUGUUGGCCGGGCGACGGUUGUCCCGGUUUAAGCGUGUAGGCUGGUUUUCCAGGCAAAUCCGGAAAACCAAGGCUGAGGCGUGAUGACGAGGCACUACGGUGCUGAAGCGACAAAUGCCCUGCUUCCAGGAAAAGCCUCUAAGCAUCAGGUAACAUCAAAUCGUACCCCAAACCGACACAGGUGGUCAGGUAGAGAAUACCAAGGCGCUUGAGAGAACUCGGGUGAAGGAACUAGGCAAAAUGGUGCCGUAACUUCGGGAGAAGGCACGCUGAUAUGUAGGUGAAGCGACUUGCUCGUGGAGCUGAAAUCAGUCGAAGAUACCAGCUGGCUGCAACUGUUUAUUAAAAAACACAGCACUGUGCAAACACGAAAGUGGACGUAUACGGUGUGACGCCUGCCCGGUGCCGGAAGGUUAAUUGAUGGGGUUAGCGGUAACGCGAAGCUCUUGAUCGAAGCCCCGGUAAACGGCGGCCGUAACUAUAACGGUCCUAAGGUAGCGAAAUUCCUUGUCGGGUAAGUUCCGACCUGCACGAAUGGCGUAAUGAUGGCGGGCUGUCUCCACCCGAGACUCAGUGAAAUUGAACUCGCUGUGAAGAUGCAGUGUACCCGCGGCAAGACGGAAAGACCCCGUGAACCUUUACUAUAGCUUGACACUGAACAUUGAGCCUUGAUGUGUAGGAUAGGUGGGAGGCUUUGAAGUGUGGACGCCAGUCUGCAUGGAGCCGACCUUGAAAUACCACCCUUUAAUGUUUGAUGUUCUAACGUUGGCCCGUAAUCCGGGUUGCGGACAGUGUCUGGUGGGUAGUUUGACUGGGGCGGUCUCCUCCUAAAGAGUAACGGAGGAGCACGAAGGUUGGCUAAUCUGGGUCGGACAUCAGGAGGUUAGUGCAAUGGCAUAAGCCAGCUUGACUGCGAGCGUGACGGCGCGAGCAGGUGCGAAAGCAGGUCAUAGUGAUCCGGUGGUUCUGAAUGGAAGGGCCAUCGCUCAACGGAUAAAAGGUACUCCGGGGAUAACAGGCUGAUACCGCCCAAGAGUUCAUAUCGACGGCGGUGUUUGGCACCUCGAUGUCGGCUCAUCACAUCCUGGGGCUGAAGUAGGUCCCAAGGGUAUGGCUGUUCGCCAUUUAAAGUGGUACGCGAGCUGGGUUUAGAACGUCGUGAGACAGUUCGGUCCCUAUCUGCCGUGGGCGCUGGAGAACUGAGGGGGGCUGCUCCUAGUACGAGAGGACCGGAGUGGACGCAUCACUGGUGUUCGGGUUGUCAUGCCAAUGGCACUGCCCGGUAGCUAAAUGCGGAAGAGAUAAGUGCUGAAAGCAUCUAAGCACGAAACUUGCCCCGAGAUGAGUUCUCCCUGAGACUUAGAGUCUCCUGAAGGAACGUUGAAGACGACGACGUUGAUAGGCCGGGUGUGUAAGCGCAGCGAUGCGUUGAGCUAACCGGUACUAAUGAACCGUGAGGCUUAACCUUACAACGCCGAAG
rnacentral:rRNA from 1 species